rnacentral:lncRNA from 1 species
GGUCUCUUCAGCAUAGCAACAGCAGCGUAGCUGAACAUCUUACGGAUGGCCCAGGGCUCCAAAGGCUCGUUUCCUAAGUGAGAGAGAGCCUGGCUGAAGCUGUAUUACCAUUCAUUCUCCAGCCUCCGAAGUCUCAAAGCAUCACUUCCACCAUACUCUAACUGUCAAGACAAACACAAAGGCCCAGAAACUGCCAGACUGUCUUCUGAAGUGGCUAUAAUAUUUACACUCCCAUCAGCAGUGUAGAAGGGGUCUCACUAUGUUGUCUGGAGUGCUGUGGUGGAGUGGAGUGGCUAUUCACAGCUGAGUUUGCAGAGUAAACCACUACCCUGAAAUCUGGAAAGGCAGGUGCACCCACAGAUCCUCAGCUGAGAUCCAAUUACCUGAAAUAGAAGCUGCCAUUAGGAACACUUAAAAGAGCCUGUUCUGCUGGGACACAGAAUCACUUGCUCCAUCUCAUACAUUGAUGAUGAUUAAUUUGUAUGUGUACCUUCCAAAAAAGAUGGUUGUGUUUGAAUGGAGGCCUUCUGGACAGGAAAAUAUGGAGAGUGCGUGCUUUGGAUUCAAGACUGGGAAUGAGGGGACCAGAAACCUAUUCUGUGGCUGUUUCUUGUUAGGACUUUCCUAAGCCUCUGGAAAAGUGCAAAGUACAAUUAACAUUUGAGUCUGUCUGAGUCAUGAAGAAAUGGAGAUUACUGAAAAUAAUUCAUUUUGGUAUCUUCUUACAUCCUGAGAGACUAAUCUUUCCAAGUUCAUCUGAGGCUCCUCUUCUCCAUGACAACCUCAUCCAGGGAUUUCUUCCUGUCCUGGUGUUUUAUGACAUAAUCACAUCCUUCCUGAGAUAAUGAGCACACAAUUGCCUGGAUACCUGAAGGAAUGGAGACAGCGGCAGAAAACACUGCAGAGAGGUGGAAACAUCCGUUAAUAUUUUAAAAUCCCAUUACUGCUACCAACAAUAAUAAUGGAUGCAUAGAAAUAGAUCUGGAUUAGCUGAGCUUGAAACAGUCCAUCUCACACACACACAAAAGAAUUUCAGAUACAGUGAACCCACAUGUUGAAGCUUUCUAGUAUAAUAAAAAUUUCAACUGUUCUGUUGAAUCAUCUGCCUGAUUGGAGGCUACAGAAAAGAUGUCAUCUUAGGAGUGCUUGCUCUGAGUGAGGCUCAUCUUCAAAUCUGAAUGACCACAAGGAGAUUUGAUUAUACAUGUGAACACCUCAGAAGGCACAGCCCACCCAGAAGGCAGACAGAAGAAGCUGCCAGGAAGACUGUGAAAUCUUCAUGCCCAAGGAUCCCUAAAAUUAGGAGCAACAACCACUUGGCUCAGACGGUUUAUGGAGGCAAAGGUUUGGAUGGGAUUAGAGAUUUCUAAAUGUGAGUUCGUGUCCUCUGCCAGACCACCUUACUUCCACCAUUCCUCAGCAAAUCAAGAAAAACAGGAGAAAAGACAUGCCUUUCCAUAAGUUAAAUCUAUUCUGUUUUAAUUCUAUAUUAUAUCUGCUGUACAACUUCUUUUGUUUGUAACACCAUAUUGUUGCUAGUAACUGGAAAUUAAUUUUCACAUGCCUCAGCUUAGAAAAAUAAAAAGCAGCCCUG